AAUCAACGCUGGCGGCGUGCCUAACACAUGCAAGUCGAACGCGAAAGCCCCGCAAGGGGUAAGUAGAGUGGCAAACGGGUGAGUAACACGUGGGUGACCUGCCUUCGAGUGGGGGAUAACGUCCCGAAAGGGACGCUAAUACCGCAUGACAUCCUGCUUUUGAAAAAGCGGAGAUCAAAGCUGGGGAUCGCAAGACCUAGCGCUUGAAGAGGGGCCCGCGCCUGAUUAGCUAGUUGGUGAGGUAACGGCUCACCAAGGCGACGAUCAGUAUCCGGCCUGAGAGGGCGGGCGGACACACUGGGACUGAGACCCGGCACAGACUCCUACGGGAGGCAGCAGUGGGGAAUUGGUCGCAAUGGGCGCAAGCCUGGCGACGCAACGCCGCGUGGAGGACGAAGAUCUUCGGGUCGUAAACUCCUGUCGAGCGGGACGAACGCUUCGCGGAUGAAUAAUCCGCGGAAUUGACGGUACCGCUAAAGGAAGCCCCGGCUAACUCCGUG
rnacentral:rRNA from 1 species